CUCUCUCUCCUGUCCUUCCCCUACUGUCUCCAGUCCCCUACACAGACUGGAACAGUACUGUGAUGUUCUGGAGGAGCUGGGAGGGCUAAACCACUCCUAUGACUCCUUCCUCUCCGUCCUCAGACACGCCCAGCGCCACGGUGAGGACCUCCGGGCCAGCGACCUCAUCGUCGGGUUUCCGGUCCCGGUGGCGGAGCGUGAAGAGCUGGUGAGUCAGGUGUGUGGGAGGACCAGGAGGAAGAGGACCGGGGUGUGUUCCUCUAUCAACCCCUCAUCGUCUUCACCAAGCAGAAGAGCCUGGGACACACCACCUACAGCUUCAAACACAGCACCAAGGGUCAGAGUGGAGAGGAGAGGGCAGCCUGGACACAUGAUAUCACUCAGCUCCUUUGGACCCACACCAUACACAACACAG